rnacentral:rRNA from 1 species
CAGCCGCCACGGUAAUACAGAGGUCCCGAGCGUUGUUCGGAUUCACUGGGCGUAAAGGGUGUGUAGGAGGUUGGAUAAGUCAGGUGUGAAAUCCCGCAGCUCAACUGCGGAACUGCAUUCGAUACUGUUCAACUAGAGGAUCGGAGGGGGAAGCGGAAUUCUUGGUGUAGCGGUGAAAUGCGUAGAUAUCAAGAGGAACACCGGUGGCGAAGGCGGCUUCCUGGAAGAUACCUGACUCUGAAACACGAAAGCCAGGGGGGCGAAUGGGAUUAGAUACCCGCGUAGUCCCUGUCUCUUAUAC